CAUUGAAACAGCGGUUCUCGUACGAUCACCGAAGUUAAGCAACGUCGAGCCUGGUCAGUUCCUACAUGAAUGACCGCUUGGGAAUACCAGGUGCUGUAAG